rnacentral:rRNA from 1 species
UACAGAGGUCUCAAGCGUUGUUCGGAUUCAUUGGGCGUAAAGGGUGCGUAGGUGGCGAGGCAAGUCUGGUGUGAAAUCUCGGAGCUUAACUCCGAAACUGCAUUCGAUACUGCCGUGCUUGAGGACUGGAGAGGAGACUGGAAUUUACGGUGUAGCGGUGAAAUGCGUAGAUAUCGUAAGGAAGACCAGUGGCGAAGGCGGGUCUCUGGACAGUUCCUGACGCUGAGGCACGAAGGUCAGGGGAGCAAACGGG